UGGGCUUGCAUCGGGUACGGNCAGACUAGAGUGCGGUAGGGGUGACUGGAAUUCCUGGUGUAGCGGUGGAAUGCGCAGAUAUCAGGAGGAACACCGAUGGCGAAGGCAGNUCACUGGGCCGCAACUGACGCUGAGGAGCGAAAGCAUGGGUAGCGAACAGGAUUAGAUACCCUGGUAGUCCAUGCCGUAAACGUUGGGCACUAGGUGUGGGGCUCAUUCCACGAGUUCCGUGCCGCAGCAAACGCAUUAAGUGCCCCGCCUGGGGAGUACGGCCGCAAGGCUAAAACUCAAAGGAAUUGACGGGGGCCCGCACAAGCGGCGGAGCAUGCGGAUUAAUUCGAUGCAACGCGAAGAACCUUACCAAGGCUUGACAUACACCGGAAUCAUGCAGCGAUGUGUGCGUCUUCGGACUGGUGUACAGGUGGUGCAUGGUUGUCGUCAGCUCGUGUCGUGAGAUGUUGGGUUAAGUCCCGCAACGAGCGCAACCCUCGUCCUAUGUUGCCAGCACGUCAUGGUGGGGACUCAUAGGAGACUGCCGGGGUCAACUCGGAGGAAGGUGGGGAUGACGUCAAAUCAUCAUGCCCCUUAUGUCUUGGGCUUCACGCAUGCUACAAUGGCCGGUACAGAGGGCUGCGAAACCGCGAGGUGGAGCGAACCCCAAAAAGCCGGUCUCAGUUCGGAUUGGGGUCUGCAACUCGACCCCAUGAAGUCGGAGUCGCUAGUAAUCGCAGAUCAGCAACGCUGCGGUGAAUACGUUCCCGGGCCUUGUACACACCGCCCGUCAAGUCACGAAAGUCGGUAACACCCGAAGCCGGUGGCCCAACCCUUGGGAGGGAGCCGUCGAAGGUGGGAUUGGCGAUUGGG
rnacentral:rRNA from 1 species